rnacentral:rRNA from 1 species
UACAGAGGUCCCAAGCGUUGUUCGGAUUCACUGGGCGUAAAGGGUGCGUAGGCGGCUGAGUAAGUCUGAUGUGAAAUCUCCGAGCCUAACUCGGAAACUGCAUCGGAUACUAUUCAGCUAGAGGAUUGGAAGGGAGACUGGAAUUCUCGGUGUAGCAGUGAAAUGCGUAGAUAUCGAGAGGAACACCAGUGGCGAAGGCGAGUCUCUGGACAAUUCCUGACGCUGAGGCACGAAAGCUAGGGGAGCAAACGGG